AAAGUCGUAACAAGGUUUCCGUAGGUGAACCUGCGGAAGGAUCAUCAGCAAAACUGACAUUGACGUCAUACGUGUUCCCGCGACGCGGGCCCGUCUGGCCAGGCCUGGAGUGAGCCCUCUUGGUCUGAACGAAUCUUGAGCACAGCUCUGCUUUUAUUGAAACAUCCGGCGUGUGCGGCAGCACGCGGCCGAUGGAGCACAACACAAAAAACAACUUUUGACAACGGAUCUCUUGGCUCUC
rnacentral:misc_RNA from 1 species